rnacentral:rRNA from 1 species
GAUGAACGCUGGCGGCGUGCCUAAUACAUGCAAGUCGAGCGAAUGGAUUAAGAGCUUGCUCUUAUGAAGUUAGCGGCGGACGGGUGAGUAACACGUGGGUAACCUGCCCAUAAGACUGGGAUAACUCCGGGAAACCGGGGCUAAUACCGGAUAACAUUUUGAACGGCAUGGUUCGAAAUUGAAGGGCGGCUUCGGCUGUCACUUAUGGAUGGACCCGCGUCGCAUUAGCUAGUUGGUGAGGUAACGGCUCAACAAGGCAACGAUGCGUAGCCGACCUGAGAGGGUGAUCGGCCACACUGGGACUGAGACACGGCCCAGACUCCUACGGGAGGCAGCAGUAGGGAAUCUUCCGCAAUGGACGAAAGUCUGACGGAGCAACGCCGCGUGAGUGAUGAAGGCUUUCGGGUCGUAAAACUCUGUUGUUAGGGAAGAACAAGUGCUAGUUGAAUAAGCUGGCACCUUGACGGUACCUAACCAGAAAGCCACGGCUAACUACGUGCCAGCCGCCGCAGUAA